rnacentral:ncRNA from 1 species
GACAAUCGACACGGGGGCUGGUGCAUCGCACCGGCUGAGAGGGGCUCAUGCCCCGACCGAUUGAACGUGAAUCCGGACAAUGCCGGCGCACGGACGUCGUCGAUUCCCGUGC